ensembl:snRNA Gm24623 predicted gene, 24623
GUCACGUCUCUGUAAUUUGCCUAAGAGAAAAAAAAAAUGCUAUCUGUUCUUGCCAGUUAAAUAUCUGAUAUGUCCUUUAUCAAAGGAUAAUGCAUUAAAUGGAUUUUUGGGAAUAGGAGGUAGAAUAGUAACUUGCUCUGUCUAUACCAUGAAUUGACCUAGUAUUGCAGUAUCUUCAAUAACAGUGCAUCCUCC